GACGAACGCUGGCGGCGUGCUUAACACAUGCAAGUCGAACGGAAAGGCCAUGCUUUUGUGGGGUGCUCGUGUGGCGCGGGGGUGAGUAACACGUGAGUAAACUGCCCUUGACUUUGGGAUAACUUCAGGAAACUGGGGCUAAUACCGGGUAGGAGCUACUGCUGCACGGUGGGGGUUGGAAAGAUUCGGCGGUUGGGGAUGGAUUCGAUGGUUAUGAGCUGGUUGGUGAGGUAGGGGCGGACGAAGGCUUUGACGGGUAGCCGGCCUGAGAGGGGUGCCGGGCACAAGGGGACUGAGAGACGGCCCAGAAGCCUACGGGAGGCAGCAGUGGGGAAUAUUGCACAACGGGCGGACGCCAGAGGCAGCAACGCCGCGAGCGUGAUGCCCUCCUUCGGGGUGUAAACCGCUGUCGCCUUAGCCGAAGCGGGAGUGACGGUAAUGGGUAAAGAAGCACCGGCUAACUACGUG
rnacentral:rRNA from 1 species